UGCAUCCAGAAGCUCUUAAAUCUUGUACAAG
rnacentral:piRNA from 1 species